CCAAAUUACUCGACUGGUGGGACCAUUCACAUUGUGGUAAAUAAUCAAGUGGCGUUCACUACUGAUCCAAGGGCUGGAAGAUCAUCUCAGUACUGUACUGACGUCGCAAAGGCUUUGAAUGCUCCGAUUUUCCAUGUCAAUGGUGAUGACGUUGAGGCAGUUGCUCAUGUGUGUGAACUUGCAGCUGAAUGGCGCCAGAAGUUCCACUCAAAUUUUCCAUGUCAAUGGUGAUGAUGUUGAGGCGGUUGCUCAUGUGUGUGAACUUGCUGCAGAAUGGCGCCAGAAAUUCCACUCAGAUGUUGUGGUUGAUAUUGUCUGUUAUCGUCGUUUUGGACACAAUGAAAUUGACGAACCUUCCUUCACCCAGCCUAAAAUGUAUAAGGUUAGUUUCGUUGAAUAUUUUGUGCUUUGAUACAUAACUAUUGUCGAAUUUAGAUUUGGAGUGCAAUUCACUCUGUUUACCUUCCUACUGUGAAUUGUGACCAACUAUGAAAGAAUCCAUUUAGCUUCUGCUGGAAGCAAUGGAUCUUCUUAUAUUCUGUAUGACAACACUGAUAUCUUUAUCAUUUUAUGUCUUGC
rnacentral:lncRNA from 1 species